rnacentral:misc_RNA from 1 species
AACAAAAUAUGAGACUUUAACAGGAAUACUAUGUGACUUGUAAUCGCCAUGCCCAAGCUGACCAAAUGAGCCAUCCCCACAAGUCAAAAGUGAGCCUGUGUCUGAAACAAACCCAGAGUGGCUCCAUCCAGCAGAGACAUUUGUUAUAACAUAACCAUCCAAGAAAUUAACGGGCUUUGGAUGUAAGCUACUGAGCAUUUCUCCAUGGCCUAGCUGACCAGAUGUUCCUCUGCCCCAUGUCAGUACUUUCCCAGCAGAGCUCAAAGCAAUAACGUGAGCGCCGCCGCAGGCAAGCGUGGAGAUGGGUGCAGCGGAGGAGAGAGGAGUAAGGUGAAGGACUUGAGGGAGAUGCUCGUCCUCAAGCUUGCCUGUGCCCAGCUGGCCGUCAGUUCCUGCUCCCCAACUCCACACUCGCUGCUGCAAUUUUAGUUCUUCUGGUUGUUCUGUUUCUGCUUUGGUCACUUCUUUGCCUUCUUGGUUUUCUUCCAUCAUUGAUACAUGCCCAGAU